rnacentral:rRNA from 1 species
CACAGGAGAGCUUGCUCUCGGGUGACGAGUGGCGGACGGGUGAGUAAUGUCUGGGAAACUGCCUGAUGGAGGGGGAUAACUACUGGAAACGGUAGCUAAUACCGCAUAACGUCGCAAGACCAAAGAGGGGGACCUUCGGGCCUCUUGCCAUCAGAUGUGCCCAGAUGGGAUUAGCUAGUAGGUGGGGUAACGGCUCACCUAGGCGACGAUCCCUAGCUGGUCUGAGAGGAUGACCAGCCACACUGGAACUGAGACACGGUCCAGACUCCUACGGGAGGCAGCAGUGGGGAAUAUUGCACAAUGGGCGCAAGCCUGAUGCAGCCAUGCCGCGUGUAUGAAGAAGGCCUUCGGGUUGUAAAGUACUUUCAGCGGGGAGGAAGGUGUUGUGGUUAAUAACCGCAGCAAUUGACGUUACCCGCAGAAGAAGCACCGGCUAACUCCGUGCCAGCAGCCGCGGUAAUACGGAGGGUGCAAGCGUUAAUCGGAAUUACUGGGCGUAAAGCGCACGCAGGCGGUCUGUCAAGUCGGAUGUGAAAUCCCCGGGCUCAACCUGGGAACUGCAUUCGAAACUGGCAGGCUGGAGUCUUGUAGAGGGGGGUAGAAUUCCAGGUGUAGCGGUGAAAUGCGUAGAGAUCUGGAGGAAUACCGGUGGCGAAGGCGGCCCCCUGGACAAAGACUGACGCUCAGGUGCGAAAGCGUGGGGAGCAAACAGGAUUAGAUACCCUGGUAGUCCACGCCGUAAACGAUGUCGAUUUGGAGGUUGUGCCCUUGAGGCGUGGCUUCCGGAGCUAACGCGUUAAAUCGACCGCCUGGGGGAGUACGGCCGCAAGGUUAAAACUCAAAUGAAUUGACGGGGGCCCGCACAAGCGGUGGAGCAUGUGGUUUAAUUCGAUGCAACGCGAAGAACCUUACCUGGUCUUGACAUCCACAGAACUUUCCAGAGAUGGAUUGGUGCCUUCGGGAACUGUGAGACAGGUGCUGCAUGGCUGUCGUCAGCUCGUGUUGUGAAAUGGUUGGGUUAAGUCCCGCAACGAGCGCAACCCUUAUCCUUGUUGCCAGCGGUCCGGCCGGGAACUCAAAGGAGACUGCCAUGAUAACUGGAGAAAAAGGUGGGGAAUAACUUCAAGUCAUCAGGGCCCUUACAACCGGGCUACCCCGUGCUACAUGGGGCAAACAAGAAGAACGACCUCGCGA